GUCGGAGUGGUGGAACUGGCAGACACGCAGGAUUUAGGUUCCUGUGCCUCCGGGCGUGGGGGUUCGAGUCCCCCCUCCGACACC
rnacentral:tRNA from 1 species